GACUCUGAACGGUGGAUCACUCUGCUCGUGCGACAAUGAAGAACACAGCUAGCUGCGAGAACUAAUGUGAAUUGCAGGACACACUGAUCACCGAAACUUCGAACACACUUUGUGGCCCCGGGUUUCUCCUGGGGCUACGCUUGUCUGAGGGACG